rnacentral:rRNA from 1 species
GUGCCAGCAGCCGCGGUAAUACGUAGGGUGCAAGCGUUAAUCGGAAUUACUGGGCGUAAAGCGUGCGCAGGCGGUUUUGUAAGUCUGUCGUGAAAGCCCCGGGCUCAACCUGGGAAUUGCGAUGGAGACUGCAAGGCUUGAAUCUGGCAGAGGGGGGUAGAAUUCCACGUGUAGCAGUGAAAUGCGUAGAGAUGUGGAGGAACACCGAUGGCGAAGGCAGCCCCCUGGGUCAAGAUUGACGCUCAUGCACGAAAGCGUGGGGAGCAAACAGGA